GGAACAAUUUUCCGACGCGUUGGAAUUUUAUUGCCUGUUUCCUGUUCCUUCUUGACUAAUGUUUUUUAAGGUUAUAUUUUCAUUCGUGAAUUUAGUUUUGACAAAAUUCAAUUGAAUUGACAUUUAAUCACGAUUAUUGUCAGAAAAGAAAAUUUCACGAUUCACUGGAGGAUAGCAAUUUCGAAGAUGUAGAGAACUUUGAUACAGAACAUUUGACAUAAGAUCAAAAAUAUGGGGACGAGCUUUUAAUAGAUUUGAUUCGAUCUAGGCAUUUCUUUAUGAUUAAAAGAUUAAAGAAUUUCGAGAUACUGAAAGAAAAUGCAUGGGCAGAGAUGGCUUCUAUUUUAGGAAUUUCAGAUUGUCAAACACGUUGGACACGUCUUCGUCAACGCUUCAGUAAGGAGAGGCAACUACGAGAAAAUGAAACAAGAAGUAGGGCAAGAAAA